UCAACAAUCGGUCGAAAGAAUAUUCGAUACUGUCCAUAGAAAUCGUAAAAGAUUUCUGAAAAGCGGUCAAGAAAAAUAUACGGUCUUUAUUUAUCUAUUGCAUGGAUUCAUUUAACCGAAUCGUGUGCUUUGAAAUGAAUGACUGUGUUUUUAAAGGUUUAUCAAUGGGGGUAGCUAUCAGGCGACGUAGCGCCCCGUUCGUCUCAGUUCAAAUGAUCCCUCGGGUGCUUCUCGAACUGAGAAUGAAUGAAGUGACGUCACACUCAGGAGAGCGCCAGCCGAAGGAUCAAAGUACGCACCCGGAUACGGGCGAAGGGUGGGGGCGGGCAGCGUGGCUUAAGCCACGAACUGCAGUUUUUCUAGCUUGAGGCUUUUUCUUUGUAUAAAGGAGUAGCAGCGCCCACGUGCUUGUACCGUCUUUUGCAAGGGGGUCUCCGCUGUGUUUAGCCACUAGCAAGUCGCCUUGCCCGGUCGAUUUUUACUAGGCUCGGAAGUUACUGCGCAGAGCAGAAUGCGAUCACCUCUUAAAUUAAUUACAUUUAAAUGAAAUCUAGCCUGGUGCCCUCGAGGCCUUUUGAGAGUGCAGGUUCCCAAAUUCUCGGCCGGCAAGGCCAAAGGACAGGCUGAGAAUGGCCAGAAUAUAUUUGGAAGACUCCAGAUUCUUCUGGAUGUUGGUUUCCAGUCUGAAUGACUAAGAAAGAGGGGAUUACAUAGAGAAAUAAUCUAAUCUGGUUUAAGGUUAAACCAGACUGCUUAUAGGAGAGGUACUUUUGUGACACUCCAGGAGCUGAAAAAUCAGCAUUCUGCACAAAGAAGCUAAAAGGAAGUGUCAAGUGUACCACUGGGUCUGUAUUCAGAAGACAACAGAAGUGACGAGGGACCCGAAAGGAAACACUUAUGAGAUAUCCAUGAGAACCCAAGGGAACUUUGGAAUACCUAUGAGUAGCUGGAGAAAAGUCAAGAACCAGGGAACAGGAGAAAUCUAAGCAAAGAGCAGGAGCACUGUGGGUAGAGGAACUGAUUAGAAACCACGGUCCACAGAACCCACGGAAACAUCUCAUCUGUUUUGACUUCUGGGGAAGAAAUGGUGAACUGACCAAGAAGAAAUGGGGAAGAAAAAAUGGAGACCGUGGCAGAAUGAAGUGCCGACUUGACAAAUGAACAGCAGAGCUCGGGUAAACAACAUUUAUGUGCAACAGCUUGGAGAUCAACAUAAUUCACCAUAUGGCAAGCUUGGCUGAGCUGUCAACAAAGUGUAUUGCACACCUAAUUUAUUCUGAAAAUUUAUGCCUCUACAAAUUGUGACAGAUGAUUUUUCAUGUCACUCAACUUUUACAGAGCCUGACAAAUAAAGUAGAUAUUCAUAAUUCCCCCAGAAAAUCAACAAAGAAACCUCAGUGAUGGAGAUAAAGUUCAGAUAUGGCCUAUUGAAUCAAAGCAAUACCAAUAUAAUGGUCUGAAUCCCCAAAAGUGCAUGGGGAAGUGCAGAGUUGUGACUUGUGACCAUUCCUAAGGAGAUGCCUACAGAAGAAUGGUAUUUGGACAAGAAUGGACACCCAACUUCAGCUUUCAAUGAACUUUAAUGUUAAAAGGAUUCUUACCAAUAAAUAUCUCAUCUUCAAGGCAAAGGAGUCGGGGGUGUAACUCUUUUCUUAAUAUCUAUUUCCAGUGAGGUGUUCUUUUUUUUUUUUUUAAAGCAUUUCAACUGCUGGAGCAAGUAGAGGGCCUGAGAUUGAGGAAGACACAUACUACCCAUAGGGGUGAGAGGGGAUUUUUUUUUUUUUUUAAUAAAAAUACAGGUAGUCUGUUCCAUUGGAUUGGAGUUGAUGAAUACAUGCAGGGCAUUCAUGCAAUCCUAUGUCAGAAUUAUAAGACGCUAAUAGUAGAAUGUAAAGUAAUGGCAAAAUAGUCCAGUCAAAAGGAUUCAAGAAUACAUUGGAAAUAAGGAUGUAGAGAAUAGGGCAGUAAAAACAUCGUCAGUUUCAGGCACUAUCAGCAAGGGAAGGGAAGGGAAGGGAAGGACAGUACUAUUAUGAGCAACUGCAAAAGUUGUUCCAGCAAUGAGGUGCUCACAACCAGAAGCAUAAAUAUUUAAAUGGUCCAGACUGCACCAUUAUUCCACAGUAGACCACUAUUCCCAAGAUAGCUGUUGUAGGAAAUAAUUUCAUCUGCAUGUCCUACCAGAUCCAGCAGAGUGGGCACGUUAUGGGUUCCGUCACCUAGGGAGCUACAUUUAGUGGGCCCCAGGUGGUGGGCCUUUUCUGCUGUGGCACCUGUGCUGUGAAAUCUCCCCACCCCAAGGUGAGACUGGCCUCAUCAUUGUUGAACUUCCGGAGGUCCCUGAAGACUUGGUUAUUCCAGCAGACCUGGGGACUCCAGGGGAUGGGGGAAUUAGUGAGGCCGCUCCCUUAUUUUUAACUUCCUUUUAUUCUCUGU